CGCGACGACGUUGAUAGGCCGGGUGUGUAAGCGCAGCGAUGCGUUGAGCUAACCGGUACUAAUGAACCGUGAGGCUUAACCUU
rnacentral:rRNA from 1 species